GGCCGCGCGGGGCUGUGUAGGGACAGAGACCAGCACGCCUCCGCCUCCGUCGCUGCCUCUGGCACCCACCCCCGUCAGAACAGGCAAAAGCUUUGUAUUUAUAGGGAACUCUCCAGGGAGGACAACUGAGUCACCCAGAGAUACCUUCCACUCCUGGGUCCUUAGCCAAGUCACCAUGUUUACGCUAUCAGAACAUCUAACCCUCCAUAGUCGGGGGCCACCACGGCGGGACAGAAGCCUGGGACAAUAAAACAAGCCCCUGGGUGCCACAGGCUCUUCCCCUUCAUAACAGGAUCUCGCUAUGCAGUUCAGCUGGCCUUGAGCUCACUUU